rnacentral:sRNA from 12 species
CUUGUGGAGUGUUAUAUCAAAUGUUAGUAGUAUGCUGAAAAGCUAUGAGAACAGACACGUUGAAGCAAGAA